UUUGGAACAAGACAAAGUUUACAUUGAAAACCUAAACAAGCAAAUAGAGCCAGGAAAAUCUAGGAGAAGGAGGAACGAGGAGGAAAGAAUGGGAGAUCCAAACCUGUUGCCUUGGGACUUAGCACAGCUGCCCACACUGGCCAGGAACAGAGGGACAGAGGGACAGAACGGAAGGCCCUGGAUCAGGACCCUGACGUACACUCCCAGGCCUGGUUUAGCUUUUAGACUUUUGAAGGCAGGGGAUGGAAUGUUGAAGGCCCUGGUCACACAGCCAAGAAUAAAGCCCUAGGUCUAGGCCUCCCCUCUCCUGUUCCUGUGGGCCUGGAGUCUGGACUUUGUCCUCUCCACUCUCUGGGGAAGACACAGGGCGGAGGGGGAAGACAGGAAGAGGCUCUUGCCUGGGCAGUGAUGGCACCAGUGUUUCCUGGAGCCUGGGCUUCUGGGUACUGCCUGCUCCUGGUUUGCCUCCUGCCCCGCCUCCUGCCUCCAGCUCCGUUGUGGCUUCCUGCUUCCUCGGGAACAGUGCUUCCUCAUGGAUUGAGGAGCAGGAGGCCUUGCCAUGGCCUUGACCUCAGGGUGACACACAUGCGGACCAGCCCUGAGGUGGAGCACCUGCUCAGCUUUCUCCUGGCCUUCAGGCUCCUCCUUGAGGUCCCCCAGGUCUACAACAGCAGCCACAGUUCCACUGCCCAAGCAAGGAGCCCUCUAGUCAUCAUGACCGGCCUCUCCCACAGGACACUGCAUUGUCUCCACAGGGCUCCUUCCCCACUGUUUGCUGGACAGGAUCCUGUGUGCUCCUCUGCUCAAAACUCUUUCAAUGUUCUAAUAUUGAUUGUGGUCAUGAUUGCAUAACUAAAAAUUACUAAGAACCAUUGAAUGGCUCACUUUAAACAAGUGACUUGUAUGUUAUGUUAGUUGUAUCUGAAUAAAGCUGUUCUCUUUUU